UUUUUCGCUUUAGUUUCCAUCUUCUCCAGAAGGAGGCGGAAAGGUCUGUUGGUGAUCUAGAAUGGUUGUUGGAUCAAGAAGACGCUGUAGGAGGAGGUGAUGAUCGUGUAUAACAAUUGAAGCGGAUUCAGGUUUUGGAUCUGUUAUUAUGAAUUUGUUAUCUUUUUAUGUUUCCUUUUCUCCUGUAACUGUGAUUCUUCGAUGAUCCAGAUUUAAUGUUAUUCUCUCAUCCUUUGAGAUGAGUAUGGAGAGGUUUCUUACGAUCUAGAUCUAGGGUUUCAGGUGAAGUUUUCUUUACCAGGAAUCCAUAAGGGAAUAUUAAAAGAUGAGUUGAUUUAUCCUGGUCUUCUGAUUGUAGAUGGAAGAUUGUUGUUGGAUUUUUAGACAACUUCACUUUCUAUUCUAUGUCUUUAAUAGGUAGAAGGAGGUGAUGAUCGUGGAUCAAAAUUUGAAGCGGAUUCUGGGUUUUCUUCUUUCACAAUUGUAAAUAUGUUGGAGCAUAUAUUCUGGUUAUUCAAUGAUCUAAAUUCCAUGAAAUUGUUUGUGUGAUUGAUAUUAGAUCGACUUCAUCAACACAUAAGAAGGAUGUGUGAAGUUAAGGUGGUGGCGGGUUCAGGUUUUUGGUCAAAGAUGGUUAUCUUUUUAUGUUUCAUUGUACAUAUGCUAUUGUUUAGCUGCAGAUUUUGAUGAUGAAAAUUUCUUUGGUAGUAGAACCAAGGGAAGAUCUCUAUUGAAGGGAUUUAUUUAAGGAGUUUCAUAGCCUUCUGGAGGCGAGGUUUGGUGAAGAUACUGACUGCUGUGCACUUUUUUUUUUCUUUUGAGAAGAUUUAAGUAAAUUGAAGAACUCAUGUUUUUUUUCUUACGACUCAAUGGGAUUAUCAUUCUUCAAUUUUGCAAUUUUGCGUAGACACAAUUAAACAGCGGAGGACCUUAGUGGACUACACCAGCUGCAUUCCAAGAAUAAGUUCCUUAUUUUGCUCUCUUAAGUUGAUGUUGUACAUGCUGAUUUAAUCAACUUUAUGAUGUCUCUGUCUUAUAUUGUUUAUAAUUUAUUGUUCAAUGUGUUUGACGACAAUUGUUGAACAGGGGAAAUAUUUAUGAAUUUCCCUGAGUUCAUGUAAUUUGUAAAUGUGAGCUUUCAUGAGCUGGUAGUUCAAUGCGAUUCAUUUUUUGUGUGUAAUCAUGUCUAUUUAUUGUUUAAUUUGUUUGUUCUGGUUUUUCUAAACUAUUCUUUUCUUGCUUAUGUUGCUGUUUGUGAAUUUUUCUUUUGCAGGACAAUGUUGAUUUCUUAUCUUACUGUAUGUGGAUUAAGGUUACGUUGAGUUUUGGUUUAUUUUUUUGCAGUUGUCUAUAUUUUUGGUCAUUUAGUCCAUGUCUGCUCUUGCUAAUGCAAGUUUUUCUAUUAUUCCAUUGAUAAGGGUGUUCACUGUGACUGUUAAAUUGACUGGUAUUUAUAAGCAUCAUCUUUGAUUCUUGCAGACCACAUCUGCCUUGUGUGUUUAGGAGGAGGUGAUGUGGAUCAAAAUAUGUUGUGGGUAAAUAACUGCGAUUCUGCAAUGAAUUUAAUUCCAUGAUCUUGUGUGUAUGAUUGUUAUUAGAUUGACUUUAUUAAAGGAUACGAUGUUUCCUAAGCUCAGUAGGAUGUGGUGGGAAUUGGUGUUGAUUCAGGUUUUAGGGCAAAGAUUGUUCUUAUUGAUUUGGUAGUAGAUCCGAAGGAAGAUCUCUCAAUGUGAAGGGAUUUAUGUAAGAGGAGUCUUUUCUUAGCCUUUUGGAGGUAGGGUUUGGUGAGGAUACAUACUGCUCUACUUUGUUUUUGGAGUAGCUAUUCAUAUGGUGGAAUAUGAGAAGUAUGAAGAUCUAAUAUGAAAAAUUGAAGCUUUUUAUGGUUCAGUUGGGUUAUUAUCCUCCACUUCCAAUUUUGUCUGUUUAGUAGGAUUGUUGAUGAGAUAGUGUGAUGAUCCCGGCCGCCUUCAAGGAUUGAUGCAAAUUCAGGUUUUUAGGGCUCUAUAGCUCUAGUUAAUUUUUUCUGUGUUUCUUUGCCCUUUUCAUUGUUGUGCAUACCUGAAGAAGAAAUUAUUCCUAGGAGCUGAAGUUCUGGAUGAUUCAAUGUUCUUUAAUGUUUGGGUGUAAAUUGAGAGGCGAGGGAUAUUUUUGGGCAAUAUGGUUGCUUCCGACUCAACUCUUAAUGCUGGCGCUGGCUUCAUAUUGUGAUGUGUUGAGUAGUUAUUUGGUUAUUGAAUAGAUUUCUUUGACCAAAUCUUAUCUGGUUUCAACAGGGGUAAAAGUUUAUUUCUCUGUUUAGCAGGGGUGCAAUUGAUGAACCGGUUGGCUUUUCACGGCUAUAAAGUAGGUGGUGGUUCAAGAGCUGAAGCGGAUUCAGGUUUUGGCCCUAUUCAUGGAAUUGUGCUCUUUUUCAUGUUUCUUCUUUAGUGUUGUAAAUAUGCUAGAGCAUAUAACUCUGAUUCUACUAGAAUCUGAACUCCAUGGCGCUUGUGCAUGUUUGUUCGCAUCCAUCAGGGGGUUACUGGAAGGGGAGAGUUCAAUGUGGAAAGAUCCAUCUAAGGAGUGUUUUCUUCAUGCUAAUUUAAUUAACUUUUUGAUGUCUUCUGUAGUUUGAUUAGUUGAUGUCUUGUCUAGGUUCGUGUAUUGAUAGCAAUUGGGGAAAUAUUUAUGAAUUUCCCACGAGUUCCUGUAAUUUGUAAUGACAAAUGCUGAUUUCUUAUGCUACCGUGUGUGGAUAAAGGUUUUGUUGAGUUUUGGCUUAUUUUUCUGUAGUUGUUUAUAUAGUUAUCUUUUUAUGUUUGUACGUCUGUUGUAUACUAGGUGCAAACUUUGAGGAUGAAAUUGCCUUGUUCUUAUUUAUUUGGUAGUAGAUCAUAAGGAAGAUCUCUCAAUGUCAAAGGAUGGAAGGAUUUAUGUAAGGAACCUUUUCUUAGCCUUCUGAAUCAGUGUUUGCUGAAGAUACUUACUGCUCUACUUUGUUUCUGGAGUAGCUAUUUCAUAUGGUGUAGUAGUAGUAAGAAGAUCUGAAUUAUAUGAAAAAUUGAAGCUCUAUAUGGUUCAGUUGGGUUAUUCGAUUUUGUCUAUUUAGUAGGGUUGUUGAUACCUUCUGAGACAAGAUGGUAAUGUGAUGAUCCAGCCACCAUGGAAGGUGUUGGUUCAAGGAUUGAUGUGAAUUCAGGUUUUUAGGGUUUUACCGCUCUUGUUAAUUUUUUUGUGUUCCUUUGCCAUCUUCAUUGUUGUGCAUAUCUGAAGAAGAAAUUAUUUUUUUGAUACCUUCUGAGACAAGAUGGUAAUGUGAUGAUCCAGCCACCAUGGAAGGUGUUGGUUCAAGGAUUGAUGUGAAUUCAGGUUUUUAGGGUUUUACCGCUCUUGUUAAUUUUUUUGUGUUCCUUUGCCAUCUUCAUUGUUGUGCAUAUCUGAAGAAGAAAUUAUUUCAAGGAGCUGAAGUUGUUCUGGUUGAUUCAAUGUGGUCAUUAUUCGUAAAUGUAUGUGUGUAGGCACAAUUGAGCGGCAAAGGAUAUUGUUGGGCGAUAUAGUAGCUUACGAAGAAUAGUCUUGUCUUCACUCUUAAUGCUGGCUUCAUACUGUGAUGUGAAACGUCGACUGAACUUUUAACUUCGCUUUUAGGGGUUUAUGUCAGAUUUUAAUUUCUUGCCUUCAGAAAAAUUUUUGGUUGCGAUUCGUCUUUUGACUAGAAAGUGACUGUUCCUAUAAUUUAUUUGCUUUCAGGGUGCUUGCUUCCAGCUACUGUGAUUUAUUUGGUCGUGGAACGUAUCUAAAUUUAUUGGCUGCGGGAGCUUGUCUUAGUUGUGGCAGAAGCCCGAUGGGUGGUUUCAUAUCUUAUUCAUCUUCUUCGGCUAUUUUCCUCGAUAUACAACCAGACGUGUCUUUCAUUUAUUUAAAUUUGAAUAUAAAUAUGAUGUAUUGCUUUGUGCGUUGGAUUUCAGGAGAGCCAACCUCUGUUAUAGUUGGAUGGACUGGUUUCCUUACUGUAAUGUGAAACGUCGACUGAACUUUGCUUUUCGGGGUUCAUGUCAGAUUUUAGUUUCUUAGUUUCGAAAAGAACUUUUGGUUGCAAUCUGUUUUUUGUCUUAUCUUAUGUUACCCACUUGACCAACAAGUGAUUGCUCCUAUGGUUUAUUUGCUGUCAGGGUGCUUGCUUCCAGUUACUGCGAUUUAUUAAGUCGAGGAACGUAUGUGAUUUGAUUGGCUACGGAGGUUGUCUUAGUUGUGGCAGAAGCAGAUGGGUGGUUUUGUAUCUUAUUUACCUUCUUCGGCUAUUUUUUCGAUAUACAACACAGGUGUGUGUUUUUCAUUUAUCUGAAUUUGAAUAUAAAUCUGAUGUAUUGCUUUGUGCGUUGGAUUUCAGGAGAGCCAACCUCUGUUAUAGUUGGAUGGACUGGUUCCCUUACUGUGAUGUGAAACGUUGGCUGAACUUUGCUUUUUGGGGUUCAUGUCAGAUUUUAAUUUCUUAGUUUCGAAAAGAACUUUUGGUUGCAAUCUGUCUUUUGUCUCUUCCUAUGUUACCCACUUGACCAACAAGUGAUUGCUCCUAUGGUUUAUUUGCUGUCAGGGUGCUUGCUUCCAGUUACUGCGAUUUAUUAAGUCGAGGAACGUAUGUGAUUUGAUUGGCUACGGAGGUUGUCUUAGUUGUGGCAGAGGCAGAUGGGUGAUUUUGUAUCUUAAUUAUCUUCUUUGGCUAUUUUCCUCGAUAUACAACCAGACGUGUCUUUCUUUUAUUCAAAUCUGAAUAUAAAUCUGAUGUAUUGCUUCGUGCGUUGGAUUUCAGGAGAGCCAACCUCUGUUAUAGUUGGAUGGACUGGUUUCCUUACUGUGAUGUGAAAUGUCGACUGAACUUGGCUUUUUGGGCGUUCAUGUCAGAUUUUAGUUUCUUAGUUUCGAAAAGAACUUUUGGUUACAAUCUGUCUUUUGUCUCUUCUUAUGUUACCCACUUGACCAACAAGUGAUUGUUCCUAUGGUUUAUUUGCUGUCAGGGUGGUUGCUUCCAGUUACUGUGAUUUAUUAAGUCGAGGAACGUAUGUGAUUUGAUUGGUUCCGGAACUUGUAUUAGUUGUGGCAGAAGCCCGAUGGGUGGUUUUGUAUCUUAUUUAUAUUUUCCUCGAUAUACAACCAGACGUGUCUUUCUUUUAUUUAAAUCUGAAUAUAAAUCUGAUGUAUUGCUUCGUGCAUUGGAUUUCAGGAGAGCCAACCUCUGUUAUAGUUGGAUGGACUGGUUUCCUUACUGUGAUGUGAAAUGUCGACUGAACUUGGCUUUUUGGGCGUUCAUGUCAGAUUUUAGUUUCUUAGUUUCGAAAAGAACUUUUGGUUGCAAUCUGUCUUUUGUCUCUUCUUAUGUUACCCACUUGACCGACAAGUGAUUGUUCCUAUGGUUUAUUUGCUGUCAGGGUGCUUGCUUCCAGUUACUGCGAUUUAUUAAGUUGAGGAACGUAUGUGAUUUGAUUGGCUACGGAGGUUGUCUUAGUUGUGGCAGAAGCCCGAUGGGUGGUUUUGUAUCUUAUUUACCUUCUUCGGCUAUUUUUUCGAUCUACAGCACAGGUGUGUGUUUUUCAUUUAUCUAAAUUUGAAUAUAAAUCUGAUGUAUUACGUUGUGCUCUGGAUUUCAGGAAGGCUAAGAGGAUUUGGGAAGGGGGCUUAUUUUCUGUCAUAGUUGGAUAGAUUGGUUCCUUACUGGGACGACUGAACUUUUAACUUCGCUUUUAGUAGUUUAUACCAGAUUUUUUCUUUGCUUUAGAAAGAAUUUUUGUUUGCAAUCUCUCUUUUGCCUUAUCUUAUGUUUCCCACUGGACCGACCAGCAAGUGAUUGUUCCUAUUAUUUAUUUGCUGUCAGGGUUCUCAAGUCCAGCUACUGGGGUGUAUUUGGCUGCGGAUGUUGUCUUAGUUGUGGCAGAAGCCCAAUGGGCGGUUUUGUAUCUUAUUUACCUUCUUCUGCUAUUUUUCGAUAUACAACACAGGUGUGUGUUUUUCAUUUAUCUAAAUUUGAAUAUAAAUCUGAUGUAUUACAUUGUGCUCUGGAUUUCAGGAAGGCUAAGUGGAUAUGGAAAGGGAGCUUAUUUUCUGUCAUAGUUGGAUAGAUUGAUUCCUUGCUGGGACGACUGAACCUUUAACUUCGCUUUUAGGGGUUUAUACCAGAUUUUAAUUUCUUUGCUUUAGAAAGAAUUUUUGUUUGCAAUCUCUCUUUUGCCUUUUCUUAUGUAUCCCACUUGACCGACAUGUGGUUGUUCCUAUUAUUUUUUUGCUGUUAGGGUGCUCAAGUCCAGCUACUUGGGUUUAUUUGGCUGCGGAGGUUCUCUUAGUUGUGGCAGAAGCCGGAUGGGUUGUUUUGUAUCUUAUUUAUCCUCUUCGGCUAUUUUUCGAUAUACAACACUGGUGUGUGUUUUUCGUUUAUAUAAAUUUGAAUAUAAAUCUGAUGUAUUCCAUUGUGCUCUGGAUUUCAGGAAAGCCAAGAGGAUUUGGAAAAGGAGUUUAUUCUCUGUCAUAGCUGGAUAGAUUGGUUUCUUACUGGGAUGUGAAACUUCGACUGAACUUUUAACUUUGCUUUUAGGGGUUUAUGACAGAUUUUAUUUGCGAUCUGUCUUUUCUCUUCUUAUGUUUCCUCCUUGACUAGCAAGUGACUGUUCCUAUAAUUUAUUUGCUGUCAGGGUGCUUGCUUCCAGCUACUGUGAUUUAUUUGGUCGUUGAACGCAUCUGAAUUUAUUGGCUGCGGAGCUUGUCUUAGUUGUGGCAGAAACCCGAUGGGUGGUUUUUGUAUCUUAUUUAUCUUCUUCGGCUAUUUUCUUUGAAUUGCAUUGUGCUUUGGAUUUCAGGAGAGCCAACCUCUGUCAUAGUUAGAUGGAUUGAUUUCCUUACUGUGAUGUGAAAACAUCGACUGAACUUUUAAUUUUGCUUUUAGGGGUUCAUGUCAGAUUUUAGUUUCUUAGUUUCGAAAAGAAUUUUUGGUUGCAAUCUGUCUUUUGUCUCUUCUUAUGUUUCCUACUUGACGAACAAGUGAUUGUUCCUAUGAUUUAUUUGCGGUCAGGGUGCUUGCUUUCACGUAUGGUGAUUUGAAUGGAUGCGGAGCUCGUCUUAGUUGUGGCAGAAGCUCGAUGGGUGGUUUCGUGUCUUGUUUAUCUUUUUUGGCAAUUUUCUUUGAUAGACAACACAGGUGUGUGUUUUUAAUUUAUUUAAAUUUAAAUAUAUAUCUGAUGUAUUACGUUGCGCUCUGGAUUUCAGGAGAGCCAGAGUAUUUGGAAAGGGAGCUUGUUCUCUGUGAUAGUUGGAUGGAUCGGUUUCCUUACUGGGAUUUGAAUCGUUGACUGAACUUUUAUCUUUGCUUAGAAAACAUUUUUUGGUUGCAAAUGUGUAUCGACUCUUCUUAUGUUUCCACCGUGACCUUGACCACCAUGUGUUUGUUUCUAUGGUUUAUUUGCUGGCAGGGUGCUUGCUGCAACUGUGAUUUAUUUUGUCGAGGAACGUAUCUGAUUUGAUUAGCUGCGGAGCUUGUCAUUGUUGUGGCUGAAACUCGAUGGGUGGUCUUGUACCUUUUUUAUUUUCUUCGGCUAUUUUCUUCGAUAUACAACACAGGCGUGUUUUUCAUUUAUCCAAAUUUGAAUUAAAUCUGAUGUGCUUUGGAUUUCAGGAGAGCCAGAGGAUUCGGAAAGGGAGCUUAUUUUAUGUCAUAGUUAGAUUGGUUUCCUAACUUGGAUGUGAAACGUUCACUGAACGUUCAGCUUCAGUUUUAGGGGUUUAUAUCAGAUUUUAGUUUCUUUGCUCAGAAAGAAUGUUUGGUUGCAAUCUGUGUUUUGUCUCUUCUUAUGUUUCCUACUUGACCAACAAGUGAUUGUUCCUAUAAUUUAUUUGCUGUCAGGGUGCUAGCUUCCUGCUACUGUGAUUUGAUUUGGUCGAGGCUCGUUGUGGGGGAAGCUCGUUGGGUGGUUUUGUAUCUUGUUCAUCUUCUUUGGCUAUUUUUUUCAAUAUACAACGCAGGUGUGUGUUUUUAAUUUAUUUAAAUUUAAAAAUCUGAUGCAUUACGUUGUGCUCUGGUUUUCAGGAGAGCCAGAGGAUUCAGAAAUGAAGCUUAUUCUGUCAUAGUUGGAUGGAUUGAUUUCCUUACUAGGAUGUGAAACAUCGACUGAACAUUCGACUUCGCUUUUAGGGGUGCUUGCUUCCUGCUAUUGUGAUUUAUUUGUUCGAGGAACGUAUCUGAUUUGACUGGCUGCGGAGCUUGUCUUAGUUGUGGUUGAAACUCGAUGGGUGGUUUUGUUUUGUUUUUUAUUUUCUUCGGCUAUUUUCUUCGAUAUGCAACACAAGUGUGUUUUUCAUAUUUAUCUAAAUUUUAUUUAAAUCUGAUGUAUUAUGUUGUGCUUUGGACUUCAGGGGAGCCAGUGGAUUUGGAAAGGGAGCUUAUUCUCUGUCAUAGUUAAAUAAAGUGGUUUCCUAACUUGGAUGUUAAACGUCGACCGAACUUUUAACUUCUGUUUUAGGGGUUUAUAUCAGAUUUUAAUUUCUUCACUUCAGAAAUCCCUCUUGUUUUUCUUUAUGUUUCCUCCUUGACUAGCAAGUGAUUGUUCCUGUUAUUUAUUUGCUGUCAGGUGCUUGCUUCCACCGUGGUUUAUUUGGUCGAGGAACUUGUCUAAAUUUAUUGGCUGCGGAGCUUGUCUUAGUUGUCGCAGAAGCCCGAUGGGUGGUUCUGUAUCUUAUUUAUCUUCUUCGGCUGUUUUUUGAUGUACAACACAGGUGUGUUUUUCAUUUAUCUGAUUUUGAAUAUAAUUCUGAUGUAGUGCAUUGUGCUUUGGAUUUUUUCAGGAGAGCCAAGAGGAUUUGGAAAGGGAGCUUAUUCUCUGUUAUAGUUGGAUUGGAUGGAUUGGUUUCCCUACUGGGAUGUGAAACGUCGACUGAACUUUUAACUUAGAAGUUCGGGGUUCAUGUCAGAUUUUAGUUUCUUAGUUUCGAAAAGAACUUUUGGUUGCAAUCUGUUUUUUGUCUCCUCUUAUGUUACCCACUUGACCAACAAGUGAUUGUUCCUAUGGUUUAUUUGCUGUCAGGGUGCUUGCUUCCAGUUACUGCGGUUUAUUGAGUCGAGGAACGUAUGUGAUUUGAUUGGCUGCGGAGGUUGUCUUAGUUGUGGCAGAAGCCCGAUGGGUGGUUUGGAAAGCCAAGAGGAUUUGUAAAGGGAGUUUAUUUUCUGUCAUAGUUGACUUUGCUUUUAGGGGUUUAUACCAGAUUUUAAUUUCUUUGCUUUAGAAUGAAUUUUUGUUUGCAAUCUCUCUUUUGCCUUUUCUUAUGUUUCUCACUUGACCAACAAGUGAUUGUUCCUAUUAUUUUUCUGCUGUCAAGGUUCUCAAAUCCAGCUACUGAGGUGUAUUUGGCUGCGGAGGUUGUCUUAGUUGUGGCAGAAGCCCGAUGGGAGGUUUUGUAUCUUAUUUGUCGUUCUCGGCUAUUUUUUCGAUGUAUUUAUCCAAAUUUGCUGUCAGGGUGCUUGCUUCCAGUUACUGUGAUUUAUUAAGUCGAGGUUGUCUUAGUUGUGGCAGAAGCCCGAUGGGAGGUUUUGUAUCUUAUUCGUCUUUCUCGGCUAUUUUUUCGAUGUAUUUAUCCAAAUUUGCUGUCAGGGUGCUUGCUUCCAGUUACUGUGAUUUAUUAAGUCGAGGAGCGUAUGUGAUUUGAGUGGCUAUGGAGGUUGUCUUAUUUACCUUGGCUAUUCUUUUAGAUAUACAACACAGGGUUCUCAAGUCCAGCUACUGGGGUGUAUUUGGCUGCGGAUGUUGUCUUAGUUGUGGCAGAAGCCCAGUGGGUGGUUUUGUAUCUUAUUUACCUUCUUCGGCUAUUUUUUCGAUAUACAACACAGGUGUGUGUUUUUCAUUUAAUCUAAAUUUGAAUAUAAAUCUGAUGUAUUACAUUGUGCUCUGGAUUUCAGGAAGGCUAAGUGGAUAUGGAAAGGGAGCUUAUUUUCUGUCAUAGUUGGAUAGAUUGAUUCCUUGCUGGGACGACUGAACCUUUAACUUCGCUUUUAGGGGUUUAUACCAGAUUUUAAUUUCUUUGCUUUAGAAAGAAUUUUUGUUUGCAAUCUCUCUUUUGCCUUUUCUUAUGUUUCCCACUUGACGAACAAGUGAUUGUUCCUAUUAUUUUUUUGCUGUCAGGGUGCUCAAGUCCAGCUACUGGGGUUUAUUUAAUUUCUUUGCUUUAGAAAGAAUUUUUGUUUGCAAUCUCUCUUUUGGCUUUUCUUAUGUAUCCCACUUGACCAACAUGUGGUUGUUCCUAUUAUUUUUUGCUGUCAGGGUGCUCAAGUCCAGCUACUUGGGUUUAUUUGGCUGCGGAGGUUCUCUUAGUUGUGGCAGAAGCCGGAUGGGGUGCUUGCUUCCAGCUACUGUGGUUUAUUUGGUCGUGGAACACAUCUGAAUUUAUCGGCUGCGGAGCUUGUCUUGGUUGUGGCAGAAACUCGAUGGGUGGGUGCUUGCUUUCAUGUAUGGUGAUUUGAUUGGAUGCGGAGCUCGUCUUAGUUGUGGCAGAAGCUCGAUGGGUGGUUUUGUGUCUUGUUUAUCCUUUUUGGCAAUUUUCUUUGAUAGACAACACAGGUGUGUGUUUUUAAUUUAUUUAAAUUUAAAUAUAUAUCUGAUGUAUUACGUUGUGCUCUGGAUUUCAGGAGAGCCAGAGUAUUUGGAAAGGGAGCUUGUUCUCUGUGAUAGUUGGAUGGAUUGGUUUUGUGUCUUGUUUAUCCUUUUUGGCAAUUUUCUUUGAUAGACAACACAGGUGUGUGUUUUUAAUUUAUUUAAAUUUAAAUAUAUAUCUGAUGUAUUACGUUGUGCUCUGGAUUUCAGGAGAGCCAGAGUAUUUGGAAAGGGAGCUUGUUCUCUGUGAUAGUUGGAUGGAUUGGUUUCCUUACUGGGAUUUGAAUCGUUGACUGAACUUUUAACUUUGAUUUUAGGGGGUGCUCGCUUCCAGCUACUGUGAUUUUAUUAUUGGCUGCAGAGCUUGUUUUAGUUGUGGCUGAAGCUCCAUGGGUGGUUUUGUAUCUAAAUUAUCUUCUUCGGCUAGUUUCUUUGAUAUGUACACAGCUGUGUGUUUUUCAUUUGUCUAAAUUUGAAUAUAUAUGUCUGAUGUAUUACAUUGUGCUCUGGAUUUCAGAAGACCGGAGGAUCGGGAUGGAGCUUGUUCUCUUUUUUAGUUGGAUGGAUUGGUUUCCUUAGUGGGAUGUGAAACAUCGACUGAACUUCUCUAAGUAGCUGUGGAGUCGCUGGGAGUUCCAGAUUCCAUCAUUGUAAACUCAGUGAUGGAAAUCUAGUUGCGUCGCAAUCAUUAUCUUAUAAAUGGAAUCAUAUAGAAGCAAAAUACCCCGACUGUGAUAUAUACUGGAGUAGAUCUGAGGAUAAAUACCACUUUCCAGCCAGUUCACUGCUGAUUCAAUUGUUAUGAGCAAUGCAGAUUUCAUAAUCUCUACACACUAGUACAUAUUGAGAGAUCGAUGGAAGCAAAAUAUGGUUGGGCAGUGUGAGAGCCACACAACGUCCACUCUUCCGAGAUUAUGCAGAGUGGUUCAUGGCAUUGAUGUGUCCAUAUACUUCCCGUACUUUUGAAAGGACAAAAGACUAAUUUUUACAUGGUUCAAUUGAAAAGUUGUUAUGUGAUCAAGACCAGAUCGACCAAACACAUGGGUACCUUGAGCGACAAGUCCAAAUCCAUUAACUUUUCCAGGGUGAUUGAUCGAGUAAAAAACAUAACAGGACUGGUAGAGUGCCUGCUCUCUACGAAGCAUGUGGCCUUACAGUUGUGGAGGCGAUACUUGUGGUCUUCCAACAUUUGCUGCUGGUCAUGGAGUUCCUGCUGAGAUAAUCGAACAUGGAAAAAUCGGGUUUCCAUGUGUGAUCCAUAUCACCCUAAAUCAGGACGGUGGACUCAUGACAGAUUUUUUUGAGUGCUGCAAGAAGGAACUUAGCCACUGGGAUUAGAUCUCCUCUGCGGGGCUUCAGCGGAUUUUAUUACAGGAAUACUUGGAAGAUCUAUUCAGAAAGACUAAUGACACUAGCUGGUGUUUAUGGUUUUUGGAAGUAUGUCUCAAAACUUGAAAGGCGUGAGGCUCGAAGAUACUUAGAGAUGUCUUACAUUCUGAAGUUCCGGGAACUUGCAAAAUCUGUUCCAGUGGUUCCAGAAGCAGUUGGCCAUGGUCACUGAAGUAUAUUUAGAGAUGGUAUUCGUUGUUAUCAAGUACUGUUGUCCACGAAAUCAAUUUACCUUUCAGGUUAGUGUAUAAUAUGGAAUAAGAAUCCAUGAACGUCGAGAUGGAUGUAUAAACGGUUUGCACGUAGUAAUUUGUUUGGUAAAAGCAACUGAAUGAUAGUGAUUGGAAUACAAUCACUAUCAAUUCUGACGAAAACCGAUCUACAGUUUGAUGGUCUUCAAAACCAUUCCUCUUUCGAAGUGAGUAGAGGUUAUGGAAACAGCGUAACUUUGUAUCAUUGUUCAUUUGACUCUGGAUGCACAACUUAGUUCAAACCAGAGUAAAAUGGGAUAUUAUUAGAAGGUAGAAUUAUUGGUGAAAUGUUAAGCUCUUACUGCCACAGUAUGGUUAUAACCUUGAUGAAACUCUUUACACUCCCGAAGUGUAGUUAUAUUUUUUUGGUGCAGUAAUUCUUCCGGAA